AGUAAUUGGGGUAGCCGGUGCCUGGGGAGAGGUGUAAUAGUGAAGUGGUGUUAAGUCUUGUGAUGGGAGCUUGGAGCCUAGGAAGGUUGCUCUGGAUCUGCCUGUUUCAGAAGAGUAACAGCUGGUGGUGAGCAGAGCUGGCUGAAUAAGGACUGGCUCAGAAGGGAUGCUGGAGAAGAUCAAGCUUGGCACAUUUUCUCUGCACUGUACACUUGUGACCCUUGGAGCUGCUCAGUACCAACUGGCAGUAUACUGUAACUCAGUCAAGCCUGACACACUCAUUGCCCCAACACUGUCAUAAUGAUACCUUACAUGACACCGUUGAGAGAGAUGUAAACUGGUGACACGCUGGUCCUGACAAUUGUGUUGUAUGUAUGGAUUGUACUGGAACUAUAACUCUUUUAACACAUCUAUGUUCUUAAAAUGUAUUUGGGAGGCAGCACAUAAAUCCAGCCUGCCCUAGACAAAGAAAUGUAGAUUUCCCUGUUUGUCUGGGUUGGUUACAGGCAGAGGACAAUGAAAGAUAAAGAAAGCCACCAAGCUAAACAAGCAGUGGAGAAGACUGACACUUUAACAAUCACAGUGGGGGGCAGAAUCUGUACCUCAGGAAGCUUUUGGUAUAAACUGUGGACCUUGAGCUAUAUACGGAGAGCAAAAAGACCUUUUAGUUGACCCUUGCAUGAUGGAUAUAGGGUACCGCAGUCUUCAAACCUAUGGAAAACUGGAUUUCCCUAGUCUGGAGGGCUAGGGAUACUGGUUACUUGACAUAAUAAUGGAAAUUGCUUAGUGUCACAGAUGUACACAGCACUUUAAAAAGAUGAGAGGCUCGAUUGUGACCUUGCAUCAGUUUUACAUGGGUGUUUAAAUGGAAACAGCUCAUUCAAGUGCUGCUAGGGCCAAGACUUCGAAAGAGAAGGUUUGCUGCUGGAAUGAGUGAUUGUGUGUGUCAGGCAAAAGCGGGUCAUCCACUUGGAACCAAAGUGAACAGUUGCUUUCUGCCUCCUCAGAUUGAGGCAUCAAUUUGGUUAAUAUGAUGGUGGUCAGCAGCUAGGGGCUGGAAAAAUUAUACAUGGAACAAACAAAUUAAUCAAGUACACCAAAACAGACAAAACAAAGCCUUUCCAAAGUGUUUUUCUCAAAGUUGUUAUUUAAAGCUUUCAUGUGGCUUUCACCCACAUUGCAUGGCAUGGGGCAUGACUGAGGUAUACAAAGGCAUCUAGGUACUAGGUCAAAUGGGGAACAUGUUUCCUGAAUUUAGCAGCAAUCACUAGACAUUGUUCAUUUAUAAUGUAUGCUUGUUUCCAAUGCUAUACCACAAAACCCCUUUGUGUGGGAUGCAACAUGUGGGGCAGGUUUCCCCCUCCUGCAUAAAAUCCCACAGGAAGGAACCCUGGGAAAGGGGAUAGGGCUUUCUUUGAGUUCUUUCAUUGGGAAUAGGGGAUGCAGAAGAGGUUGGGGUCUUGGUCCUCUAAUCUUCUGAGAUCUGAAUGGAUCUUAAGGGAAUAUGCUGAAGGUACAGGUCCAUCAGGGUGAAGAUUCUGUGCCCAUGCACUGGCUUAGAGCCCCUCUCUCCUGAGCAGCCUGGCAGUGUGGCUCCACCUGAGCCCAGCUAGAGUUUGGCUGCCCUGAAAUCCUCUAAGAGUGUUCCACAGCUCUGAGAGAGCGUCAUGAGACUAUUACAUUGCCAAUGUGGAAUCCAUGCACUGCUGUGGCAGAGGAGGUGAUGAUGCACAGAGCUACCUUAGAAGAAUGAAGGGAAGAACUGACCCAUCUUGCAUCUGUAACUGUGAUUCCAAGGAAUCCAGCCAUUCCAAACCUUCUGCUCAGACUACUAAGUCACCAAUUCAGACCAGUUUACCAGUAGGCCGAGUAUAGGAUGCUGCACAAUUGUCCUUGAGUUUGUCUGUUCUAGUGGCCUUAGCCAGAGUUCAGAUACAUCAAGAGCCCUACAUAGCGACAGAAGUCAAGACUAUUAAUUGAAUACGAGACAAGUCCUUGAGUAAAAUGAGAAGGAUUUGGCUUUAGAAUUGACACAAUCGGAAACUUCUGUUGCUGGUCUGUCAGCGGACACAAAAUGCAAACAUUUUUGUUCUGAAAAUAGCUUCUUGAGUGUCAUUAAAGAUUGCUGUAGCUUUGGAGAGCAAUAAAAUAGAGCAACAAGAAACAGGACAAAUCCAUUUCCGCUUGGGAUGUAGGAAAGUUUUAUUUUAGAAUGUCCGACUCUUGAGACUUCUCCGUGUACUUAGACAGUGCAUAUGAAACUAAUUAUGGGAAAGGUGACUGAUGGCUGAUGGACAAAGUUUACUGGCUUGUGUUAUACAGUCCAGAAAACAUUACAUGACCAUUCCCAGCUGUUGUUCCAACUGGGUACCACCAGCUGUCACAUCAAAUCACAUCACAAACUAAGAAUAAAGAAAUCCCCCAUAUGCUCCCUCCCUAAAAACUUUAAAGCCCGUGGUUUUUUUUCAUGAACGCUGAUUCAUCUGAUUACACUUUACCUUCCAGGAAACAGAUGGUAAACACAGGGCAAACUCACUCCAGCAUGCUAACCAAUAACUCUUGUUUUGAAAACUGCGUCUAAGCUGUCAACUUCAUUUGGGCAGCACUUGGCUUUCUCAAAAGAUUGCUCAGAAUCCAGAUUUUUAAUAUGUGAAAUACAGUAAACCUGGGCAUUACCUGAGCCCUUGCUUAAGGGACGCUUUGCUUUAAAUGCUUUUCCAAUCUAUUUUAACCAAUAAUUAAAUCCCUUCCAUAACGAGAACCUGCACUGGACAUCUUCCACAAGUUAGUUGUACUAAAUUGAGACAGUAUAAUCUAACCCCUCUGCCCCCUCUGGUUCCAGCAGCUCGGUCCAGGUGAAAGAGAGAAAUUCUUUGGGGCUGUACUGUGUAUAAUUAUCAUCACCCCUUUCUGGUCAGCUGGACGGGCAGUCCCCCCGCACCUGGUCCAGCUGCUUCCUGCUUCUACCCACUCUGUCUGGGUAAACUUUUCCCUUCCUACCUCUCUGCUACCACUUGCCCAGGGAGCCAUUAAAAAAGCAACAACCCCUUUUCUUUCACCCAGGUGGCCGUGGACCCCCCACAUACAGCUGCAGUGAGCACUUUACAAGAACAGCUGGUCAAAUAUAUUAUUCAGAUAAUUUUGUUUAUUUACGUAAAAUACUUUGUGACAAAUUAUGUUUUGCCAUAUUCAGACAGCUCUCUAUGCUGAUCAAAUGCUCUAAGCAUUCUACAGGAACUCAGAGUUUUAUUAAUAUUAAUUAUCCUAUAUAAUGAACAAAUAAUUUAUUUAGCAAAUACUAGCAUUAAAGACUCUUUUUUUCUGUUACUUGACCAACUAUUGCAAUCAUCUUGCA